rnacentral:rRNA from 1 species
AUAAGAUAUCAAGGGCAACAGGUGAAUGCCUUGGCGCUGAGAGGCGAUGAAAGACGCGGUAAGCUGCGAUAAGCAUCGGGGAGGAGCUAAACAUCCUACGAUCCGAUGAUUUCUGAAUGGGGAAACCCGAUGGGAGUCAUGUCCCAUCAUCCUGAGCUGAAUAUAUAGGCCCAGAGAAGCCAACCCGGGGAAGUGAAACAUCUCAGUACCCGGAGGAAGAGAAAUCAAACGAGACUCCCAAAGUAGCGGCGAGCGAAAUGGGAAGAGCCCAAACCGAGUGGUUUCGACCAUUCGGGGUUGUAGGGCCGGCAUACGCGAUUCUGGAGUAGGCAGAGGAAGUGAGCUGGAAAGCUCCGCCACAGCGGGUGAUAGCCCCGUACUCGAAACCGAAAAGGACGCAGCCGGUACCUGAGUACUGCGAGGCACGUGGAACCUCGUGGGAAUCUAGGGGGACCAUCCUCUAAGGCUAAGUACUCCUCAGCGACCGAUAGUGAACUAGUACCGUGAGGGAAAGGUGAAAAGAACCCCUGUUAGGGGAGUGAAAUAGAAUCUGAAACCUGUUGCCUACAAGCUGCGAGAGCUACUUCGGUAGUGAUCGCGUGCCUUUUGUAUAAUGAGUCAGCGAGUUACUCUACCGUGCGAGGUUAAGCGAAAGCGUAGCCGUAGUGAAAGCGAGGCUUAAUAGGCCGACUAGUACGUUGGAGUAGACCCGAAACCGGGUGAUCUAUCCAUGAGCAGGUUGAAGCAAGGGUAAAGCCUUGUGGAGGACCGAACCGUCAACGGCUGAAAACGUUCCGGAUGACUUGUGGAUAGGGGUGAAAGGUCAAUCAAACCCGGUGAUAGCUGGUUCUCCCCGAAAUAUAUUGAGGUAUAGCCUCGGGAAUUGAUUAGCGGAGGUAAAGCACUGACAGAGCUAGGGGUCCUACCAGAUUACCAAACUCUAUCAAACUCAGAAUGCCGCUUAAUUGUAUCCCGGGAGUCAGACGGCGGGUGCGAAGGUUCGUCGUCAAAAGGGAAACAGCCCAGACCAACAGCUAAGGUCUCCAAAUCCAUGCUCAGUGGUGAAGGUAGUGGAACCGUUUAGACAGCCAGGACGUUGGCUUAGAAGCAGCCAUCGUUUAAAGAAAGCGUAAUAGCUCACUGGUCUAAUGGCUCUGCGCCGAAAAUGUAACGGGGCUAAGCAUGGUACCGAAGCUUUGGCAAUCUCCUUUGGAGAUUGGGUAGGGGAGCGUUCGCUGCGGGCUGAAGGUGUAUCGGAAGGUAUGCUGGACUGCAGUGAAGUGAUUAUGCUGACAUGAGUAACGAUAAAAUAUGUGAAAAACAUAUUCGCCGAAAACCCGAGGUUUCCUGGGUAAAGGUAAUCUUCCCAGGGUUAGUCGGAUCCUAAGGUGAGGGUGAAAGCCGUAACCGAUGGAAAACAGGUUAAUAUUCCUGUACUUGUUGUGUAGCGCGAUGGAGGGACGCAGGAAGAUAGGCGGGCCGGGUGUUGGAUAUCCCGGUGCAAGCGUGUAGGAAUAUCCGGUAGGCAAAUCCGCCGGACGAAUCUGAGACGCGAGUCCGUGGGCGCAAGCCCUGAAGCCGUUGAGUCUAUGCUGCCUAGAAAAGCUCCUAAGUUUAUCCACAGCAAUCCGUACCGCAAACCAACUCAGGUGGGUGGGAUGAACAAUCCAAGGCGCUCGAGAGAACUCUGGCCAAGGAACUCGGCAAAAUAACCCCGUAACUUCGGAAGAAGGGGUGCUCUCUAGGGUGACAUGUUUAACAUAUGAAGCCCCGGGGAGCCGCAGUGAAUUGGUGGUGGCGACUGUUUACUAAAAACAUAGGUCUGUGCGAAGUCCUAAAGACGACGUAUACGGACUGACGCCUGCCCGGUGCUGGAAGGUUAAAAGGAGGGGUCAGCGCAAGCAAAGCUCCGAAUUGAACCCCCAGUAAACGGCGGCCGUAACUAUAACGGUCCUAAGGUAGCGAAAUUCCUUGUCGGGUAAGUUCCGACCUGCACGAAUGGCGUAACGAUCUCCACACUGUCUCGGC